UACAACUUUCAGCGGUGGAUGUCUAGGUUCCCACAACGAUGAAGAACGCAGCGAAAUGCGAUAGCUAAUGCGAAUUGCAAGACCUCGUGAAUCAUUAAGAUUUUGAACGCACAUUGCGCUUUCGGGAUUUUCCCGGUAGCAUGCUUGUCAGAGU
rnacentral:rRNA from 1 species